rnacentral:rRNA from 1 species
UACGAAGGGGGCUAGCGUUGCUCGGAAUCACUGGGCGUAAAGCGCACGUAGGCGGCUUACUAAGUCAGGGGUGAAAUCCUGGAGCUCAACUCCGGAACUGCCUUUGAUACUGGUAAGCUCGAGUCCGGGAGAGGUGAGUGGAACUGCGAGUGUAGAGGUGAAAUUCGUAGAUAUUCGCAAGAACACCAGUGGCGAAGGCGGCUCACUGGCCCGAUACUGACGCUGAGGCACGAAAGCGUGGGGAGCAAACAGG